AUGCAGGCCGAGUAUCCAGAACUGGAGAGCACCCUUUAAGACAUUGAAGAGGAAAUGCAAACAACUGAGGAAUUAGAGUCUGAAAUCUGUUCUAGAGACCCUGUGAGUCAUCACUGCCUGGAGGAAUGAGCACAAGACUGGGAGCUGAGAAGUCCUAGAUUCAUCACAUCACAUCUCUGCUUCACUUUCCCCAUUGGUAGAAUGAGCGAUAUGAAUGAUUAAGUGACAGGGCUGUUGUGAAGCUCCCAUGACAUGCUUUGGUGAACCAGAAUGUACAUACCAGAAUCAGAAUGUUCUUACAACCUCUUUGCCGGGUCUGAGGGGCUUAUGGAUCAUAG